GAUGAGAACGUAGCGAAAUGCGAUAAGUAGUGUGAAUUGCAGAAUUCAGUGAAUCAUCGAAUCUUUGAACGCACAUUGCGCCCCUUGGUAUUCCAUGGGGCAUGCCUGUUCGAGCGUCAUUUGUACCUUCAAGCUUUGCUUGGUGUUGGGUGUUUGUCUCGCCUCCGCGUGUAGACUCGCCUCAAAACAAUUGGCAGCCGGCGUAUUGAUUUCGGAGCGCAGUACAUCUCGCGCUUUGCACUCACAACGACGACGUCCAAAAGUACAUUUUUACACUCUUGACCUCGGAUCAGGUAGGGAUACCCGCUGAACUUAAGCAUAUCAAUAAGCGGAGGA
rnacentral:misc_RNA from 1 species